rnacentral:rRNA from 1 species
GAUGAACGCUGGCGGCGUGCUUAACACAUGCAAGUCGAACGAAGCGCUUGAAACAGAUUCUUCGGAUGAAGUUUCCUGUGACUGAGUGGCGGACGGGUGAGUAACGCGUGGGUAACCUGCCUCAUACAGGGGGAUAACAGUUAGAAAUGGCUGCUAAUACCGCAUAAGCGCACGGCAUCGCAUGAUGCAGUGCGAAAAACUCCGGUGGUAUGAGAGGGACCCGCGUUGGAUUAGCUAGUUGGCAGGGUAACGGCCUACCAAGGCGACGAUCCAUAGCCGGCCUGAGAGGGUGGACGGCCACAUUGGGACUGAGACACGGCCCAGACUCCUACGGGAGGCAGCAGUGGGGAAUAUUGCACAAUGGGGGAAACCCUGAUGCAGCGACGCCGCGUGAGCGAAGAAGUAUUUCGGUAUGUAAAGCCCUAUCAGCAGGGAAGAAAACGACGGUACCUGACUAAGAAGCCCCGGCUAACUACGUGCCAGCCGCCGCCGUAA